UACGUCAGCCCCGCUGUGUUCAACGUGCCCAGCGUGGGGCGGGACCGGUUUGUGGUGUGGCCACGCCCCCAUCCCUCCUUCAGGCCCACGCGCCGGCCGGCUAACAGUUCAAGUCAGUUCGCGGGUGUUUGAAUCCGUGGAAGCCGGGUGCUGCCUCCCUACCCACAGUGACUCUUUCUGGCAGUUCCAGUCACCAGGGUACGGUGCUUGAUUCCAGCCCGGGCCUUUUGUGCCUCUCUAACUUCUCUGCACCUCAUGGGCUUAUCAGGCUGGGGCCCACCCCUGGGACCAGGCGCCAGCCCGAGGUGGAACCUGGGAGCUCCGAGUGU